AAAUCGAAAAAAAAAAAUAAUUAAAUAAAGAUUAAAAAAAUAAUAAUCAAUAGUAAAUAAAGUCAAAAAUUUAAAAUAAAUUAAUUAUUACAUAAAAGUUCUUAUAUAUUUUAAUGAAAUUAACAAUCAGUUAAAAAACUAAAGAAAGUAAUAUCAUCCAAUAGUAUGCAAUUUUUUUCUGUAUAAAAUAAAAGAAAAAUUAAUUGUCAACCAAAAAAAUAUUUUACGCUUCAUUAAAAUUGUUCAAAAAAAAUUAUAUUAAAUUUCAUAAUUGGAAAACCACAAUUGAAAUGCAAGUCAGCUUGCGUGUCAAGCAUAUUGCCAGAGAAAUGGCUCAUCAGCAUUUGCGAAAAUAACAAUAUAUUUUAUUCUACAUAUUAUUCGCUGUAUACAUAAAUAUGUAUGUAUAUAUGUAUAUGUAUGUACAUAUGUAUGUACGUAUGUAUGUAUAUGUAGUUAACAUUAUAUAAAUCCAUAAACACUUAUAUUUAGUUAUUUAUAUGCGUGUUUUUCUGCUUGCCUACUCUUCCGUGUAAUUAAUUUAAUUGUGAAUUUAUUUAUGUGCGUGCAUACAAACAUAUGUACGUAUGUAUGUGUGUGCUUAUUAUUUUUAACCUUAAAGUAAGCAGACCACCAGCAAAUUUCAGCAUUUAUGCUACAAGCUGCUCUCGCGCUCUCACACACCAAAUCCAAUUUGCACUAAACCGGCUGUCGCAUCCCACUCGGACGACGGUGCAUACAUAUGUACAUACAAUUCGUGUAAUCAUUGCCGCACGUAAUGGCACUGAAAAACAAAUUAAACAAAAGCCAAGACAAAUUAGAGCAGAAUAAAUAAUAUAUACAAGGGAAAUUACACAGCCAUACUGUAUGUAUGUGUGUGUGUGUGUAAAGAAAAUUAUGUAAAAAGUGUUAGCACAUUUAUUAUGCUUGUACUCUUAUAUAGUAUGUGUAUGUGUGUGUGUUAGCCACACUUUUUCCAGUGCAAAAUAAACAAAAAAUCGCAUGAUAUAUUUGCAAGUGCGUAUGUGUGUGUGGCACGAACGCAAAUGACGAAACUUUGUGCUGCUGAAGUUACUACUGACUUACAUACAAUACACACAUAAAACACACACACACACACCCAUACAUCUACUAUGCUCGCCAGCUCGCUGGCAAAGGUCAAAAGGCGCGCUCACAGCCUUAAUUGCUGCCAUAUACUUAUAUGUACCUAUACAUAUAUAUUUUUAUAUAUACAUAUGUGCUUGUGUGCUCGGUGUCGCUCGGUUAAAGCCUGUCAAAGUUUGGUAGCGAACUUUUUACUCUCGUUUGGAUAAUCAUUAUUCCGAAAUGUCAACAAAGUUUAGCCCGUGUGUCGUAGGUGGUGUAGUUGAGAGUGCAAAGUUUGCCUCGUAACACGGAAAUACGUGUGCGGCAAGCGGAAAUAUAAAUUUGUUUUUCUUCCUUAUUUCAUUAUUAUUUCAUAUACUUCAUGUUUUUAUUAUUAAUUUUCUUUUGUUUUUAUUUUUCUUCGGUGUAAUUGACGAAAAUAUGGUUGCAAGUUAUGUUGGUGAUGACUAAAACGUGCCACUAAUAUGUUUAUAUGUGGCAAUAACGGUGAUAUUUCUGGAGUCAACAUGAAAAACAAUUACCUUUUGGUGCAUAUUUUUGUAAGUUCAUUGUGUUUUCGACGAAACGACGUGGAAUUCUUGCUUCAGUCAUAAAGAUUCUUGGCUUUACGGUCCACUCUUCAAACAAAUAGUCGAAGUUCUAUCGAGAAAUGUUAUGAGAACAGUGUUCUGAUAUACCAAAAUUUUCAAUUAUGUUCGUAAUCCAUAUUUUGGAGACUAUGUUAAGGUAUAAUCUUAACUAUCUUACACGAUACAUGUCUUGUUCUCGCUUUAAGCUUGACUUAAGUAUUCCCAGACUUCUGUUUGAAAAAUUUACUUGUCACAUUUGCUUCGAAGCUUGUUGCCAUACAUGUUUGCAUAUAACUUGGAAACAACGCCAACGAACAACUUCAUCUCAUCUAGUAAUUGUCCUCAACAUGUAUAGAACUGUUUCCAAUUUAACAAAAAAUGUUAGCUCAUCUACCGCCAUAAAGAAUGUCAGCUUACGAGCGGAACAACAAAUCAUCAAAAACAGCGGCAAAGUUAAAAAUAAACAAUAUGGGUAAAAUUAUUAUGAACCACAUUUCUCCUUUAGUAUAAAAGUUCUUAAAAAUUAUAUACAUGUUAUCAUAUAACUUGGAAACAACGCCACCGAACAACUUCAUCUCAUCUAGUAAUUGUCCUCAACAUGAAUAGAACUAUUUCCAAUUUAGCAAAAAAUGUUAGCUGAUCUACCACCAUAAAGAAUGUCAGCUUACGAGCGGAAUAACAAAUCACUGAAUUACUUUUCUAAAACAUCGGCAAAGUUA